CUACGGGACGCAGCAGUGGGGAAUAUUGCACAAUGGGCGCAAGCCUGAUGCAGCCAUGCCGCGUGUAUGAAGAGGGCCUUCGGGUUGUAAAGUACUUUCAGCGGGGAGGAGGGGAGUAAAGUUAAUACCUUUGCUCAUUGACGUUACCCGCAGAAGAAGCACCGGCUAACUCCGUGCCAGCAGCCGCGGUAAUACGGAGGGUGCAAGCGUUAAUCGGAAUUACUGGGCGUAAAGCGCACGCAGGCGGUUUGUUAAGUCAGAUGUGAAAUCCCCGGGCUCAACCUGGGAACUGCAUCUGAUACUGGCAAGCUAGAGUCUCGUAGAGGGGGGUAGAAUUCCAGGUGUAGCGGUGAAAUGCGUAGAGAUCUGGAGGAAUACCGGUGGCGAAGGCGGCCCCCUGGACGAAGACUGACGCUCAGGUGCGAAAGCGUGGGGAGCAAACAGGAUUAGAUACCCGUGUAGUC
rnacentral:rRNA from 1 species